rnacentral:rRNA from 1 species
GAUGAACGCUGGCGGCGUGCCUAAUACAUGCAAGUCGAGCGAACAGACGAGGAGCUUGCUCCUCUGACGUUAGCGGCGGACGGGUGAGUAACACGUGGAUAACCUACCUAUAAGACUGGGAUAACUUCGGGAAACCGGAGCUAAUACCGGAUAAUAUAUUGAACCGCAUGGUUCAAUAGUGAAAGACGGUUUUGCUGUCACUUAUAGAUGGAUCCGCGCCGCAUUAGCUAGUUGGUAAGGUAACGGCUUACCAAGGCGACGAUGCGUAGCCGACCUGAGAGGGGUAUCCGCCACAACGGAACUGAGACACGGUCCAGACUCCUACGGGAGGCAGCAGGAGGGAAUCUUCCGCAAUGGGCGAAAGCCUGACGGAGCAACGCCGCGUGAGUGAUGAAGGUCUUCGGAUCGUAAAACUCUGUUAUUAGGGAAGAACAAAUGUGUAAGUAACUAUGCACGUCUUGACGGUACCUAAUCAGAAAGCCACGGCUAACUACGUG